rnacentral:rRNA from 1 species
AUGGUCAAGCUACAAGGGCGUACGGUGGAUGACUUGGCGCCAAGUGCCGAUGAAGGACGCGGUACACUGCGAAAAGCUCCGAUGAGGCGUGUGCAGCCGUUGAGUCGGAGGUCUCCGAAUGGGGAAACCCGUGCAGGGGCAUGCCUGCACACGGCGUGGUGAAUCCAUAGCCACGUGCGAGGAAACCAGGCGAACUGAAACAUCUUAGUAGCCUGAGGAAAAGAGAACAUUCCGCGAGUAGUGGCGAGCGAAAGCGGAGGAGCCCACAGCCUUCAAAGCCUAGCUGAACGCUCUGGAAAGGGCGGCGAGACAGGGUGAAAGCCCCGUAAGCGAAAGGCGCGAGCUGUAGACGAGUACAACGGGACACGCUAACCCCGUUGGAAGAUAGGGAGUCCACUCUCUAAGGCUAAAUACACUUGGCGACCGAUAGGGCACCAGUACCGUGAGGGAAAGUUGAAAAGAACCCCGGCGAGGGGAGUGAAAGAGAUUCUGAAACCGUAUGCCUACAAGCAGUCAGAGGCGCAUAAGCGCUGAUGGCGUGCCUUUUGGAGAAUGAGCCAGCGAGUUAAUGGAUGUGGCAGGGUUAAGGCAGUCACAGCCGUAGCCAGAGCGAAAGCGAGUCUGAAGAGGGCGCAGUCGCAUUCAUUAGACACGAAACCGGGUGAGCUACCCAUGUCCAGGCUGAAGCGAAGCUAACCCUUCGUGGAGGGCCGAACCGUUCCGCGUUGAAAAGCGGCUGGAUGAGAUGUGGGUAGGGGUGAUAUGCCAAACGAACUCGGAGAUAGCUUGUUCUCCCCGAAAUCGCUUUUGGGCGAGCGUUGCGUGAUGAGCUGUGGAGGUAGAGCACUAGUUGGGCUAGGGGCCGUCAGGUUACCGAACCCGCUUAAACUCCGAAUGCCACAGUUUGGAGCGCGGCAGUUGGACGGCGGGAGCUGAGUUUCGUCGUCGAGAGGGAAACAGCCCAGACCCACAGCUAAGGUUCCUAAGGGUUGGUUGAGUGGGAAACGAUGUGAGCGUGCUGAGACAGCCAGGAGGUUGGCUUGGAAGCAGCCAUCCUUUAAAGAGUGCGUAAUAGCUCACUGGUCAAGCGCGCUUGCGCGGAUAACGUAGCGGAGCUAAACCGAUCACCGAAGCUUGGGAUUAUAUGGUAGGGGAGCGUCGUGGCGCGGAAGAAGGUCAAGGCGGUAAGCCGAGCUGGACGCGCCAGGAGUGAGGAUGCUGGCAUGAGUAGCGAGAAACAUGUGAGAACCAUGUUCGCCGUAAGUCUAAGGGUUCCGACGCAAGGUCAGUCCGCGUCGGGUGAGUCGAGCCUUAGCCGAGGCUGAGAAGCGUAGGUGAUGGACAACAGGUUAACAUUCCUGUACCGCCUAGUUGGAGUGAGGUGGGGACGCAGUGAGGGAGCUGAGCCAAGGGCUGGUAGUCUUGGUGCCAAGCGGGAUAGCGUUGAGGGGGUAGGCAAAUCCGCCUCUGAGCGAAGACGCGAUGGCGUGCCUAAGGGCAAGAAGUCAGUGGGCCUUGCUGCCGAGAAAAGCCGCUAAACGUUGAAGACUAGGCGCUCGUACCGCAAACCGACACAGGUAGACGGGUAGAGGAUACCAAGGCGAACGAGAGAACCCUUGUGAAGGAACUAGGCAAAUUGGCCCCGUAAGUUCGCGAGAAGGGGCGCUCACUGGAGGAGUGAGCCGCAGUGAAAGGGCUCUGCUGACUGUUUAACUAAACCACAGGUCUCUGCGAAAGCGAAAGCUGAGGUAUAGGGGCUGAAGCCUGCCCAGUGCCGGAAGGUUAAGAGGAGGGGUUAGCCGCGAGGCGAAGCUCCGAAUUGAAGCCCCGGUGAACGGCGGCCGUAACUAUAACGGUCCUAAGGUAGCGAAAUUCCUUGUCGGGUAAGUUCCGACCCGCACGAAUGGCCUAACGAGUAGAGCACUGUCUCCACAAGGGGCUCGGCGAAAUUGAAAUACGUGUGAAGAUGCGCGUUACCCGCAGUAGGACAAAAAGACCCCGUGGAGCUUUACUGCAGCUUGCUAUUGCGUUAGGACACACUUUGUGUAGGAUAGCUGGGAGACGGAGAAGCUGGCGCGCCAGCGUCGGUGGAGUCGGCGGUGAAAUACCAGUCUGAGUGUGUUUUGACCCUAACCGUCGCCGUGAGCCGGCGGCGAGACAGUGGCAGGUGGGCAGUUUGACUGGGGUGGUCGCCUCCUAAAAGGUAACGGAGGCGCCCAAAGGUUCCCUCAGGUGGAAUGGCAACCCACUGUUGAGUGUACAGGCACAAGGGAGCUUGACUGCGAGACGGACAGGUCGAGCAGAGACGAAAGUCGGGCUGAGUGAUCCCACGAUACCGAGUGGAAGGGUCGUGGCUUAUCGGAUAAAAGCUACCCCGGGGAUAACAGGCUGGUGAAGUCCAAGAGUUCACAUCGACGACUUCGCUCGGCACCUCGAUGUCGGCUCAUCGCAUCCUGGGGCUGGAUAAGGUCCCAAGGGUUGGGCUGUUCGCCCAUUAAAGCGGUACGUGAGCUGGGUUCAG